rnacentral:rRNA from 1 species
AACGGACGCUGGCGGCAUGCCUAACACAUGCAAGUCGAACGAGACCUUCGGGUCUAGUGGCGCACGGGUGCGUAACGCGUGGGAACCUGCCCUUAGGUUCGGAAUAACUCCCCGAAAGGGGUGCUAAUACCGGAUAAUGUCUUCGGACCAAAGAUUUAUCGCCUUUGGAUGGGCCCGCGUUGGAUUAGCUAGUUGGUAGGGUAAAAGCCUACCAAGGCGACGAUCCAUAGCUGGUCUGAGAGGAUGAUCAGCCACACUGGGACUGAGACACGGCCCAGACUCCUACGGGAGGCAGCAGUGGGGAAUAUUGGACAAUGGGCGAAAGCCUGAUCCAGCAAUGCCGCGUGAGUGAUGAAGGCCUUAGGGUUGUAAAGCUCUUUUACCCGGGAUGAUAAUGACAGUACCGGGAGAAUAAGCCCCGGCUAACUCCGUG